UACCAGCACCCCGAGUGGUCGGGACGAUUAUUGGGCCUAAAGCAUCCGUAGCCGGUUCUACAAGUCUUCCGUUAAAUCCACCUGCUUAACAGAUGGGCUGCGGAGGAUACUAUGGAGCUAGGAGGCGGGAGAGGCAAGCGGUACUUAGUGGGUAGGGGUAAAAUCCGUUGAUCCAUUGAAGACCACCAGUGGCGAAGGCGGCUUGCCAGAACGCACUCGACGGUGAGGGAUGAAAGCUGGGGGAGCAAACCGGAUUAGAAACCCGCGUAGUCC
rnacentral:rRNA from 1 species